rnacentral:rRNA from 15 species
GGCGAGCGAACCGGGACCAGGCCAGUGCCUUCAUUUCAACUAGCAGAACACUUUGGAAAGAGUGGCCAUAGCGGGUGACAGCCCCGUAUGCGAAAGUGAGACUUCAGGACUCGAGUAGGGCGGGACACGUGAAAUCCUGUCUGAACAUGGGGGGACCACCCUCCAAGCCUAAGUACUCCUCAGCGACCGAUAGCGAACAAGUACCGUGAGGGAAAGGUGAAAAGCACCCCGACAAGGGGAGUGAAAUAGAACCUGAAACCGGUUGCCUACAAACAGUGGAAGCCCGCAAGGGUGACUGCGUACCUUUUGUAUAAUGGGUCAGCGACUUACAUUCAGUGGCGAGGUUAACCGAAUAGGGAAGCCGUAGAGAAAUCGAGUCCGAAUAGGGCGAAUCAGUCGCUGGGUGUAGACCCGAAACCAAGUGAUCUAUCCAUGGCCAGGAUGAAGGUACCGUAACAGGUGCUGGAGGUCCGAACCGACUAAUGUUGCAAAAUUAGCGGAUGAGCUGUGGAUAGGGGUGAAAGGCUAAACAAACUUGGAAAUAGCUGGUUCUCUCCGAAAACUAUUUAGGUAGUGCCUCAAGUAUUACCAUCGGGGGUAGAGCACUGUUUAGGCUAGGGGGUCAUGGCGACUUACCAAACCAAGGCAAACUCCGAAUACCGAUGAGUACAGCUUGGGAGACAGAGCACCGGGUGCUAACGUCCGGACUCAAGAGGGAAACAACCCAGACCGCCAGCUAAGGUCCCUAAAAUUGGCUAAGUGGGAAACGAAGUGGGAAGGCUAAAACAGUCAGGAUGUUGGCUUAGAAGCAGCCAUCAUUUAAAGAAAGCGUAAUAGCUCACUGAUCGAGUCGUCCUGCGCGGAAGAUGUAACGGGGCUAAAACUAUAUGCCGAAGCUGCGGAUUUACACGUAAGUGUAAGUGGUAGGGGAGCGUUCUGUAAGCCGAUGAAGGUGGAUUGAGAAGUCUGCUGGAGGUAUCAGAAGUGCGAAUGCUGACGUGAGUAACGACAAUGCGAGUGAAAAACUCGCACGCUGAAAGACCAAGGGUUCCAGUCCAACGUUAAUCGGGGCUGGGUGAGUCGACCCCUAAGGCGAGGCCGAGAGGCGUAGUCGAUGGGAAAUUGGUUAAUAUUCCAAUACUUCUGUGUAAUGCGAUGAGAGGACGGAGAAGGUUAAGUCAGCCUGGCGUUGGUUGUCCAGGUGAAAGGUUGUAGGCAUGCAUCUUAGGCAAAUCCGGGGUACUCUAUGCUGAGAACUGAUAGCAAGCUGCACUUGUGCAGUGAAGUGGCUGAUACCAUACUUCCAGGAAAAGUCUCUAAGCUUCAGUUACACAGGAAUCGUACCCGAAACCGACACAGGUGGUCAGGUCGAGUAGACCAAAGCGCUUGAGAGAACUCUGCUGAAGGAACUAGGCAAAAUGGUACCGUAACUUCGGGAGAAGGUACGCUGUCG